rnacentral:rRNA from 1 species
UACGGGGGGGGCAAGCGUUGUUCGGAAUUACUGGGCGUAAAGGGCUCGUAGGUGGCCAACUAAGUCAGACGUGAAAUCCCUCGGCUUAACCGGGGAACUGCGUCUGAUACUGGAUGGCUUGAGUUUGGGAGAGGGACGCGGAAUUCCAGGUGUAGCGGUGAAAUGCGUAGAUAUCUGGAGGAACACCGGUGGCGAAGGCGGUGAUCUGGGCCGGUACUGACGCUGAGGAGCGAAAGCGUGGGGAGCAAACAGG